UGGGGAAUAUUGGACAAUGGGCGCAAGCCUGAUCCAGCAAUGCCGCGUGUGUGAAGAAGGCCUUCGGGUUGUAAAGCACUUUUAUCAGGAGCGAAACGCUGUCGGCUAAUACCCGGCGGAACUGACGGUACCUGAGGAAUAAGCACCGGCUAACUUCGUGCCAGCAGCCGCGGUAAUACGAAGGGUGCAAGCGUUAAUCGGAAUUACUGGGCGUAAAGCGUGCGUAGGCGGUUUCUUAAGUCUGCUGUGAAAUCCCCGGGCUCAACCUGGGAAUGGCAGUGGAUACUGGAAGGCUAGAGUGUGUCAGAGGGUGGUGGAAUUCCCGGUGUAGCGGUGAAAUGCGUAGAGAUCGGGAGGAACAUCAGUGGCGAAGGCGGCCACCUGGGACAACACUGACGCUGAGGCACGAAAGCGUGGGGAGCAAACAGGAUUAGGAUACCCUGGUAGUCCACGCCCUAAAACGAUGCGAACUGGAUGUUGGUCUCAACUCGGAGAUCAGUGUCGAAGCUAACGCGUUAAGUUCGCCGCCUGGGGAGUACGGUCGCAAGACU
rnacentral:rRNA from 1 species